UACGAAGGGGGCUAGCGUUGUUCGGAAUUACUGGGCGUAAAGCGCGCGCAGGCGGUUCUUCAAGUCCGGGGUGAAAGCCCAGAGCUCAACUCUGGAAUUGCCUUUGAAACUGUAGAACUUGAGUACGGGAGAGGUGAGUGGAAUUCCCAGUGUAGAGGUGAAAUUCGUAGAUAUUGGGAAGAACACCGGUGGCGAAGGCGGCUCACUGGCCCGUUACUGACGCUCAGGCGCGACAGCGUGGGGAUCAAACAGG
rnacentral:rRNA from 1 species